UAUUAAAUUUUUCAUUCAUUUGUUAUGUUAAAAACUGGCAUGGCUGACGGAACAAAAAACAGUGAUACAUGGCAUGCUAGUAUGUCUCAUGCUUAUGUACAAUGAUCAAAUUUUAACAGUAAAAAUGGAUGGAACUUUUAAUA
rfam:Gossypium hirsutum cultivar TM-1 unplaced genomic scaffold scaffold613.1, whole genome shotgun sequence